rnacentral:tRNA from 2 species
GGGGACGUAGUGUAGUGGUUAACAUGUCGGCCUGUCAAGCCGAAGAUCGCGGGUUCGAACCCCGUCGUCCCCG